rnacentral:rRNA from 1 species
AGUGAACGCUGGCGGUAUGCCUAACACAUGCAAGUCGAACGGCAGCACACUAAGAGCUUGCUCUUACGGGUGGCGGGUGGCGGACGGGUGAGGAAUACAUCGGAAUCUACUUUUUCGUGGGGGAUAACGUAGGGAAACAUACGCUAAUACCGCAUACGACCUACGGGUGAAAGCAGGGGAUCUUCGGACCUUGCGCGAUUGAAUGAGCCGAUGUCGGACUAGCUAGUUGGCGGGGUAAAGGCCCACCAAGGCGACGAUCCGUAGCUGGUCUGAGAGGAUGAUCAGCCACACUGGAACUGAGACACGGUCCAGACUCCUACGGGAGGCAGCAGUGGGGAAUAUUGGACAAUGGGCGCAAGCCUGAUCCAGCCAUACCGCGUGGGUGAAGAAGGCCUUCGGGUUGUAAAGCCCUUUUGUUGGGAAAGAAAAGCAGCAGGUUAAUACCCCGCUGUUCUGACGGUACCCAAAGAAUAAGCACCGGCUAACUCCGUG